CAACGUAGUUUGACAGUGAGUUUCAGAAAUUUAUCUUCAAUUGUAUCUCCCUGCUUAAAUACAGAAAACACUGGCUAUCUAGGCUGAAUGGAAGACCGUGCACAUUCUCCUGGAAUGAACACCAGAUGAAAACGAUCAGAUUACCUUACAUGCACAGGCAGUGCUGAGGACCCAGGAGAAUUCUAGAAGGCACUGAACUCUAUGACCAGAUCUACGCAUAUAAAUCCACUUCUGGCAG
rnacentral:lncRNA from 1 species